AGCAGCCGCGGUAAUUCCAGCUCCAAUAGCGUAUAUUAAAGUUGUUGCAGUUAAAAAGCUCGUAGUUGAAUUUCGGAGUUUAUCGGUUGGUCGGGCUUCACUGUCCGCACUGGCCUGAUGGAUUCCUACCUUCUGAAUAACCAGCAUGCUAUUAAUUUAGUGCGUUGGGGAAGCAGAGCUAUUACCUUGAAAAAAUUAGAGUGCUUAAAGCAGGCUUAUGCUUGAAUAGAUUAGCAUGGAAUAAUAAAUAGGACGGCUUGGUUCUAUUUUGUUGGUUUCUAGGAUCACCGUAAUGAUUAAUAGGGAUAGUUGGGGGCAUUAGUAUUCAAUUGUCAGAGGUGAAAUUCUUGGAUUUAUUGAAGACUAACUUCUGCGAAAGCAUUUUGCCAAGGAUGUUUUCAUUAAUCAAGAACGAAAGUUAGGGGAUCGAAGACGAUCAAAUACCGUCGUAGUCUUAAACCAUAAACUAUGCCCGACUAGGGAUCGGACGAUGUUUAAUUUUUAAUGACUCGUUCGGCGU
rnacentral:rRNA from 1 species